rnacentral:rRNA from 2 species
ACCUGUUCCCAUGCCGAACACAGAAGUUAAGCUCCUUAGCGCCGAUGGUAGUCGGACUUACGUUCCGCAAGAGUAGGACGUUGCCAGGC